UCAGCCCCACUGUGUUGUCAUAAUGACUUAGCACCUACAAAAUGAAAAGAGGGCCAAAAAAACCCCCCAAAACGUCUAGCUUCCCCCUCAGUUAAGUGUUCAAAGUGUCCUAACUUCCAGCUUUGAAAUAGGACUGAAGAUGAACCAUGCUCCUGGCACCCCCUGUUGAGAGCCCAAGUUCAGCAGAUUGCGGCCAUGGGGGACUGAAAAUGGAGCCCUGGACAAAGACACUUGCUGGGUGACCCAAGGCAAGACUUUCCAUGUACACUAUGAAUGCCAAGUGCUGUGAAUACCAACCCAUGCUUUCAAAGAGCCUGCUGCCUCAGAGCAUGUGAUGUGGAACUUUCUGGUGGCCUCGGCGUGGAGGUUCUCAACCUCAGCUGCACACUGUGUUUAGUUGGUCUGGAGCGAGAUCUAGGCAUCAGUAUAUUUUUUAAGCUCCCCAUGUGAUUGUAAUAUGCAGCCAAGAAUAAAAAAAAAAAACACUG
rnacentral:lncRNA from 1 species